GCUUGCUGCUAGCUGUUGCAUUGGAGAAAGCUACACUUUCAGAUGAGUAUUUCGUGAAGAGGAAGCUUUAGCCAAACUUGGUUUUCUACUCUGGCUUAAUCUAUCAACAUUGCGUUGGAGACAAAGUGAAUGUUCUUUUCUAGCCUCUGUUUUUUGGUGAUGCUUUAGAAGAAUUUUUGAAGUUUUCAGCUUCCAACUGCUUCUUUAUUUCCAUUGGAAUUUCAAACUUUGAUUCAACUGAGUUGACUUAGUUGCUGCUGAAAAUGUACUUGUACUGAAUUCAGUGAGAUCUACAUUGCCUUUUCUGGUUACCACUUCUGAUGAUGCAAAAGAGCCAGUAACAGAGGAGAACCGCUUAAGAGUCUGCUAGUGGUGGUUCACCCUCGAAUAAUUACAGAAGACGCACAGGAGAAGUUAUUGGUAUAGUUGUCGGAUGUGCAGGUGAACUACCGAUACUUGCAUCCAUUUUCUAUCUGUGGUGGAUGAAGGAUGCACCUGGCCAUAUGCGAGUGCGCACAG